UACGGAGGGGGCUAGCGUUGUUCGGAAUCAUUGGGCGUAAAGGGCGCGUAGGCGGCCGAUCAAGUCGGAGGUGAAAUCCCUCGGCUCAACUGAGGAAUUGCCCUCGAUACUGUUCGGCUUGAGUCCUGGAGAGGGUAGCGGAAUUCCCGGUGUAGCGGUGAAAUGCGUAGAGACCGGGAAGAACACCAGUGGCGAAGGCGGCUACCUGGACAGGUACUGACGCUGAAGCGCGAAAGCUAGGGGAGCAAACAGG
rnacentral:rRNA from 1 species